rnacentral:tRNA from 1 species
UUGAGGCGUCGCCAAGCGGUAAGGCACUGGAUUUUGGAUCCAGCAUACGCAGGUUCGAAUCCUGCCGCCUCAGU